UUUCCGUAGGUGAACCUGCGGAAGGAUCAUUAUCAAAAUAGCGGACUUCGGUCCUUGCUAUACCCUUGUCUUUUGCGUACCUAUCGUUUCCUCGGCGGGCUUGCCUGCCGGUUGGACAACUUUUAAACCUUUUUAAAUCUUCAAUCAGCGUCUGAAUAAUAAACAAUAAUUACAACUUUCAACAACGGAUCUCUUGGUUCUGGCAUCGAUGAAGAACGCAGC
rnacentral:misc_RNA from 1 species